rnacentral:misc_RNA from 1 species
AACCAUUCUCACCUGCGGCUAGACCUGCGGAAGGAUCAUUACCGAGUUUACAACUCCCAAACCCCUGUGAACAUACCAAUUGUUGCCUCGGCGGAUCAGCCCGCUCCCGGUAAAACGGGACGGCCCGCCAGAGGACCCCUAAACUCUGUUUCUAUAUGUAACUUCUGAGUAAAACCAUAAAUAAAUCAAAACUUUCAACAAUGGAUCU